rnacentral:rRNA from 1 species
UGGCGACAUAGAGCGGAACCCGAAAACCUAGUCUCAGUUCGGAUUGGAGUCUGCAACCCGACUCCAUGAAGCUGGAUUCGCUAGUAAUCGCGCAUCAGCCACGGCGCGGUGAAUACGUUCCCGGGCCUUGUACACACCGCCCGUCAAGCCAUGGAAGCCGGGAGUGCCUGAAGUGCGUGAGCGCAAGCAGCGCCCUAAGGUAAAACCGGUGACUGGGGCUAAGUCGUAACAAGGUAGC